UGCGUGAGUGGGAGGUGGCAGGCCUCAGCCUCUGGCCUUCUCGUCUGACUGUUCCAGCUCCACGUCUCCAGCCAUGAACCGGUUUAGUACCCGGUUAAUGGGAGCCACCGCAACCCCGCCGCCUGCGCUGCCGAAAGCCGCAGCAAUGAAAACCUGGACAAAAUUGAUAUGUCUUUGGAUGAUAUCAUCAAAUUGAAUCGAAAGGAAGGAAAGAAGCAGAAUUUCCCGAGAUUAAAUAGAAGACUUCAGCAAAGUGGUGCCAGGCAAUUCAGGAUGAGAGUAAGAUGGGGUAUUGAACAAAAUUCUGGUUUUGGUAAGAAUAGUCUGAGCCGUAGAGGAAGAGUGAUGCCUGGGAAGAGACGUCCUUAUGGAGUUAUCACUGGCCUUGCAGCUAGGAAAGCAACUGGAAUUCGAAAAGGAAUUAGUCCUAUGAAUCGACCGCCUCUAAGUGACAAGAAUAUAGAACGAUAUUUUCCAGCAUUAAAAAGGAAGGCAAACCUUCUGAGACAAAAUGAAGUGCAGAGAAAACCAGUUGCCGCUCUCAAGAGACCUAACCAGUUAAAUAGAAAAAAUAACAUUUCAAAUAAUUUUACCAGGAGUGGAAAUAAAUUAAGUCAUCAGAAAGACACUCAUCAGGCAACUUUUCUUUUCAGAAGAGGCCUGAAGGUUCAGGCCCAGUUGAACUCAGAACAACUGCUAGACGAUGUAGUAGCAAAGAGAACUCGUCAAUGGCGAACUUCCACCACAAAUGGAGGAAUUUUGACUGUAUCCAUUGAUAAUCCAGGAGCGGUGCAGUGCCCAGUAACUCAGAAACCACGAUUAAUUCGUACUGCUGUGCCCUCAUUCUUGACAAAACGGGAUCAAUCUGAUGUAAAGAAAGUUCCUAAAGGUGUCCCCCUACAAUUUAACAUAAACAGUGUUGGAAAACAGACUGGGAUGACUUUGAAUGAGCGAUUUGGGAUCCUGAAGGAACAAAGAGCCACUCUCACUUUCAACAAAGGAGGAAGCUGCUUUGUAACCGUGGGAUAGAUCCCAUGUCAAAGGAACUUUUCAGUGAUGACUCUUAAAAAUUUAAUUGCUUGAAGAGCUCAUCACAGAAAUUCAAGAAACUUUAUUUCAAAAUAUUCACAAGGCUAAAUAACUCAUUUUUAUUUUUGAAGUUUUUUUUUAAACAUGUAUAAAUACUGCCGUGAAAGAAUAACAGGGAAUAUACCUAUAUGUUCUUAAAGAUUUCAUGGUUGGCCCAGACAGAACAAUUCUCUAUUUGACUUUUUUGAUUCCUCAUGCAGCAGAAA